rnacentral:RNase_P_RNA from 1 species
GAGAUCAGUUGAAUGGUUGCCUUGAUGUAAAUCAGGGAGGAAAGUCCGGACUCCGCAGGACAUGACGCCUCAUAACGAGAGGAUCCUCAUAUUUGGGGAAUGGCAAGUGCAACAGAAAGUAAACCGUCUCUGAUUUUACAGAGAUAAGGGUGAAAUGGUGGUGUAAGAGACCACCGGUGAUUCAGGCGACUGAAUCAGCCAGGUAAACCCCGUCAGGAGCAAGAACAAGACGUAUAGCGUAGUCCGCGCGUAUAAAUACAGGUAGUUUGCAUGAUCAGGCUUGUGAAAAUCUGACCAGAUGAAUAACCAUUGUCCCAUCGGGAUACAGAAUUCGGCUUAUAGGCUGAUCUCUUUU